AGAGCUGGAGACACGAAUAAAGAGAAAAACAACAAAACAGCACAAAAGCAAUGAGUAAGGUAUGGCAAUCAUCUCUGUGCCACUUCACAAAAUAAGCCAAUCGUACGGUGGCCCAGAGGUGUCACCGCUAAUACAAGAGCCGCAACAGAAAUAGCCACAAUGGAAAUAAUAUUCAACGGCAGAAAUUGUGGAUUCCCUGCAUCUGCACAAGCCUUGAGCCAGUUAAACACUCUAAUGCCCGCGGCAGGAACUCAAAGUGAUGAUGAUGACGAACAGGAAAAUUGCUUUGAAGAACUGCAGCGACAAAGUGGUUUGUCACCACCUCUUCAGUGGGAAGCUGCUGUACAAAUCUACACUCUGAAGAACAUGGCUGAUCUAUAAAAUAUUAAGACUGUAAAAUAAUCAACAACCCUUUUCAUAACUUUGAA